rnacentral:rRNA from 1 species
CAGCAGCCGCGGGAAUACGGAGGGGGCUAGCGUUGUUCGGAAUUACUGGGCGUAAAGCGCACGUAGGCGGCUUUGUAAGUUAGAGGUGAAAGCCCGGAGCUCAACUCCGGAAUUGCCUUUAAGACUGCAGAGCUAGCAGGUGAGAGAGGUGAGUGGAAUUCCGAGUGUAGAGGUGAAAUUCGUAGAUAUUCGGAAGAACACCAGUGGCGAAGGCGGCUCACUGGCUCAUACUGGACGCUGAGGUGCGAAAGCGUGGGGAGCAAACAGGAUUAGAUACCCCGGUAGUCCCUGUCUCUUAUAC